rnacentral:rRNA from 1 species
CGUGUGGUUCUAUUUUGUUGGUUUCUAGGACCGCCGUAAUGAUUAAUAGGGAUAGUCGGGGGCAUCAGUAUUCAAUUGUCAGAGGUGAAAUUCUUGGAUUUAUUGAAGACUAACUACUGCGAAAGCAUUUGCCAAGGAUGUUUUCAUUAAUCAGUGAACGAAAGUUAGGGGAUCGAAGACGAUCAGAUACCGUCGUAGUCUUAACCAUAAACUAUGCCGACUAGGGAUCGGGCGAUGUUAUCUUUUUGACUCGCUCGGCACCUUACGAGAAAUCAAAGUUUUUGGGUUCUGGGGGGAGUAUGGUCGCAAGGCUGAAACUUAAAGAAAUUGACGGAAGGGCACCACCAGGAGUGGAGCCUGCGGCUUAAUUUGACUCAACACGGGGAAACU